AGAGUUUGAUCCUGGCUCAGAUUGAACGCUGGCGGAAUGCUUUACACAUGCAAGUCGAACGGCAGCACGGGAGCUUGCUCCUGGUGGCGAGUGGCGAACGGGUGAGUAAUGCGUCGGAACGUACCGAGUAAUGGGGGAUAACGCAGCGAAAGCUGUGCUAAUACCGCAUACGCCCUGAGGGGGAAAGUGGGGGACCGCAAGGCCUCACGUUAUUCGAGCGGCCGACGUCUGAUUAGCUAGUUGGUGGGGUAAUGGCCCACCAAGGCGACGAUCAGUAGCGGGUCUGAGAGGAUGAUCCGCCACACUGGGACUGAGACACGGCCCAGACUCCUACGGGAGGCAGCAGUGGGGAAUAUUGGACAAUGGGCGAAAGCCUGAUCCAGCCAUGCCGCGUGUGUGAAGAAGGCCUUUUGGUUGUAAAGCACUUUAAGCGAGGAGGAGGCUACCGAGAUUAAUACUCUAGGAUAGUGGACGUUACUCGCAGAAUAAGCACCGGCUAACUCUGUGCCAGCAGCCGCGGUAAUACAGAGGGUGCGAGCGUUAAUCGGAUUUACUGGGCGUAAAGCGUGCGUAGGCGGCUUCUUAAGUCGGAUGUGAAAUCCCUGAGCUUAAC
rnacentral:rRNA from 1 species